AUCAUCCAAAAAAUACACAAAAUAAUCUGAUGGAUUAUCACAUACAGAGUGUAUCAUUUCUAUGUCGUGCAAGUUUCCAGAGCUGUCAAGUUGCUUCUUUUUUAUUAUUAAGACAAAACUACAAUAUUUAAUUGAUUUAUUUAGCAUUUACUCUGAAUAUCAAAUCAAACACUUAGUAACUAAUUUGGUAAACAAUGAUUAUAAAAGAUCAAGUUCACAGAGAAACCAUUUUUUACUUUUUUUUUUUAAAUAUCGCUUUUCAUGCAGGCUGAGCAUGAAAAUAGUCUCCUACACCUAUCUCUUGCAUUAGCUUCUGAUAGAAAACAGACGGUGAAACUCUAGGAUUAGAAAACCCUGACAGAUCUACGUCACACUGUCACUUAACAUUCAUGGACUCACCCAUCUUGACUCGCGACAGGGAAGGCGGUUGUUGGUUUAGUGUCCAGGAAACAGCGGAGAACGUCUCAGCUAGUAGAAGCUAACCAUUAGCAUUAGCAACUCCACCACACAGCAGAACUCCUCCAGGUUGUGUUAUUUGUGGAGAUAAAACAUCAAAGUUGCAGAGCAAAUGGGGUCAAUGGUAGAGUCGUGUUGCUGUUGGCCAAUCAGAGGUGAGAUGUCCAAAUGACAGGGAAAAAAAUACUCCAAAUCCAGUUUUGCCAUUUCCUCAUCUAAUUGACUUCAACGUCCUCAUACAAGCACACCUCAGCUUAUUUCCCCAGAGAAAGACCUUCAUUACAAGAGGCCACAACAAAUGUAUUACAAAUAUGAGUAAAGUUGCCUUUUAAAAGACAAAAAAACACCUGAGAAAAUAGGCAACUUUUCUAUUGGAAUCACAUAAAAUCUUUGUAAGUAAAACAUUUUAUCAACAAUUGUUGCUGACUGGCUGUCUUCAAAACUUAGGUUUUAAAGACAGCCAGUCGCAAGCCGAACGACAUUAUUGCACAAUUCUUUCAGUUGCUGUGCAAAUAAACAACAGAUUCUAAAUUGCGUUUGGGAAUUAUUGUCUUUUGAUGUGCUAUUCAGUAGCCAACUGCACUAAAGUUUAUGUCACAUUUGUAAACUUUGAUUGGAAGGCUUCCAGAUGCACACAAUUCUAUAUUUAAAAAAAGGUUGUUGCACAAAUCUUUUGAUUGUGUUUAAAAGGCGUGGUAAGCUGCACCUAAAGGUCCUUUGGGCAGUCUUUACCACCCUCUACAAUGUUUCCUUCUGUACCCCAGUGCAGCUGCCAUACCACACAGUGAAGCAAUGGGUCAGGGCACUUGCCACCACGCAGCUGUAGAAAGACCCGAGGACAUCAGCGACCAGACCUGCUCAAAGGCUCUGGUGGGCACCAGGUGUACCCACAGAUAAAAACAGUCAUGUUCUCCACCUACUGUCCGUGAACUGUUUCUGCAAACUUAACUAUAGAUUUGAUUGAUGAUCCAUUAAUGAAAUGUUGGUUUUCAGUUAUUCCAGUUGUUUUCAUUUCAUUUAAGAACAUUAAGGGACAGAUGGAGAUGUUCCAACCCAAACCACAUUUUCUCCAAGCAUCCUCUAAAGUAAAUAUGUAAUCUCCACAGGUCAGCACCAUAAGGGCUGUCUUAUAAAACAUUCCAAUAACAAAACAGAAUCAAGGAAAAACUGCGGGAGUUGAAUAAAUGUGAUUUUAAUUCUGUGUCCAAACAGAAUGCACACUCUCUUAACGUGCUUGGUGAGAUAGACCCCUGGGUUAGGAUGGUUGGGUUGUGUUAUGGUCUAGUCUUAACUAGUAGAUUAUACUUGGAGUGAGAUGUGAAACAGCCAAUUGCAGAUGCUCUGCGAGGGUAGAAGUCUCCAGAUCUCAUCCGUAAAAAAGCUGCUGAGCUGCAUUCCUCAGAAGGAGCUCCAAGCCUGCCUGGAACCCCACACACCGUUGCCCCCGUGAAAGAGCCAUUGAUGGAGGGAUGUUGUAUUGAAUAGACAGAGAGAUUUAGAGGGGAAGAAUGCCAGCCAUGGCCAUGUCAAGAGUGACGAAGGAGGAGGCAGAAGACUUGGCAGGCAGCGGACGAAGGAGAGAAAGCCAAGGGCGUAGGCAUGUGGAGUCAUUCCUCUAGCAUCCUCAUAUCUGAGAAGAGCGCCUUGAAGAGGAGUUCAUGGAUUAAAGGAGGUCUUUGAGAUAGCAGAAAGGACAAAAAAAAGCUUUUACCUUCCCACUGUCUUUAUGGGUGACCCCGCGAGGAAAGUUGACCAUUGAGCAGGAUUGAUGGUUUAUCCCUUGAGGUCCACGUGGCAGGGGUCAGGUGGUGCUCACUCCUCCCCCCUGCCACAUGGACCCAAGGGAUGAACCAUCAAUCCUGCUAAAUGGUCAACUUUCCUCACGGUGUCACACCCAUUAGGACAGUGGGAGGGUUUAAGGGCCACUUGUAAAAUGGUUGUUUGUUAGGUGUUAGUUUACAGGUUUGGUGAAAGGCAGAAUUGUCUUUAGACAAAGAACAUCACACAGACCCUUACUUUGAUCUGUUCUGGUGAUAGACCAAAUCUAAGGCUUAAAACACGCAUGUAUCAACAAGGUGACAAAACUUAAAUGAUCUAGCUCGCAGUCAAGAUUUUAGGAAACAAGGGAAAAAAGGCCUGCUGCUUCAAGAGUCUCAUUUAAUGGUUGCAGAAAGGAAGAGGAUGUUUGACAGGAAUGGUAUGCUGUUGGGUUGUUGAACAGAGAUAUCCAUCUCUGCUGGCCAGGAAGGGAGAGUUAGAUAAGGCUGGUCACUGCGUCCAUCUUUGCUGUUAUCUGAAACUUGAGGCAGUGAUGGAGAAGGGAUGGCAUUAGUCUUCCAAAAGUCCAAACAUUUGAACUUUAUUAGCCAAAACCUUGACUUGGCCACUUCUACUCUUCACUUUGAGGAUAUUUACUACGUAUGUAAGCCAACCUGCUCUUAGCAGAUAAGUGGUUACAUCUCCUCUUGGCUGGUGUUGCAGUAAACUUGGUGACAAAUGAUGUCAUUACACCAGUCAGCGUACAUCUGUACAUCUGCUCCAUUUCUGUGGAACCACUUACCUCCUCCCACAUUCCCCUUUUUGUAAACUUCCUUCCCAACAGAGGGGUUGGUGGUAAUAGGUGGUUUGUAGUUUUUCUGUCUCCUCCAUCAUUCUGUUUCCUAAUCUUUGCUCACACCAUCGACCCCCUCCAGCUUACUCAUCUCUGUUCUCCAAAAUUAAAUACAGAAAUGUUCUCAGACCCUUUCAGAGACUCAGAGGGCUGUAAACAGUUUUAUUUCUCAAUUCAAUUCAAUUCAAUUCAAAGAUACUUUAUUAAUCCCAAAGGGAAAUUAGAGUUUCAGUACACACAAUUCUGAGAUCAGACAUACAUACAUAGACACAUAACAAGAAUUGGUGACUGUGGUCAUUCGCAACCCGAGUUGCGCUACCGUAAAAGAUCAAGAGAGUUUAUAUGAGGAUAGAGUCAGGGGGAGGGAAAAAAGGGCACUUCGGAGUUACCCUCACCAGAGAAGGCAGCUUUGCUAUGCAAAAAACAGCUCAGACAGAUAUGCACACAGACUUCAGACAUUACACAACAUAAAUGUCCACUAGUUGCGUGUUUUCUCUCAGCACAGCUUCUCCUGCAUGUUUGAUCCCAAGUGGAAAAUUGAAUCCACAGGGAUUGGGGUGGGGGUGGGGGGUGACAGAGAUCCAAUGGCAAAGAGGUGCAGAAGAAGCCAGGGAGGAACUCAAAGAGGAGCAGUGGGAAGUGGAAGGAUUAAAAUGAGUGAAAUUCAGCCCGUGAUGAGUUGACCGGCCUGUGUAAUUAAGCAAGAUAGAGCACUUCCGCCACUCGAAGGAAACUUUAUGGGAGGACGUUUGAGGUUAUAAUCUGAGUCAGAUUACUGGUUAUUAAAAAACAAACCAACAUUCAAUCAGACUGGCUUUAAUAGCUAUUUUAUAGUUUGGUUUAUGGCGUCUAUUUGAGUUGUACGUAUCUAUACAAUACAUUUUAACAGCCUGAAUCAGUGAAAACACACCUAACAACGUAGGCAGCUAUACGGAGGACCUGCUUAAAUAGAAGAUGGUAACUGGCCUGUAUUUGAUUUUGCGCCUUCUAGAGUACUGGAACCCCCCAAGGCGCUUUACAACACAAUCAGUCAUUCACCCAUUCACACACUGGUGGGGAUAAGCUACGAUGUAGCCACAGCUGCCCUGGGGCGCACUGACAGAGGCGAGGCUGCCGAGCACUGGCGCCACCGGUCCCUCCAACCACCACCAGCAGGCAAGGGGGGUUAAGUGUCUUUCCCAACGACACAAAGACAGCGACAGACUGAGCGGGGCUCGAACUUGCAACCUUCCGAUUACGGGACGAGCACUUAACUCCUGUGCCACCGUCGCCCACACAAGGUGUACUAAACAAACGUUGCAUGUUUUAAAAUCAUUUUCUUGAGCCAGUAUUUGCUACCAUUACCCUUUAGGGUGAAUGGAAACUCUCAGCCCCUUGUGAGCAGGAUACCCCGUUUUCAGCUUCAGCCUCUCCGGACCGCUGCCCUGAAAUCCCACAAAGUCACGCUUUACGGCAACCCAUGUUUACACCUCAGAAUAGACGAGUUACACCUGCUUAGCAUUUUUAUAAUGUGUUCAUCAUGGUGGAGCCUCAGAAGAAACAAAAAAAACCCCAUUUCUCUGAUGAAGGUAAAACUAAAUAGAAUGUCCAACCAUUAUAUGCGUCAAACAUAAUGCCUGCAUGGUUCAGAUCAUGAACACAGCUGAUUUGUUUGAAUUAGUGACGAGCCGCUCCUGUAGGAACUAAUGAAGGCGGCGGAGACAUUUCAGCAGGCAGAUUACGAUGUUAACAACAUGCACACAGUGAGGAGUUUCAGUUUCGUUUUUUAUGACAGUGAGUAAAUAUGGACACUAGGGGGUGCUAAACACAAGCCAAGACUGCAAAAUUUCCCUUUGAAGGUAUUAAACACUUAAUCAAGACAUUUGCAGUGGUCUCUAGUAGGAAGUCGUACUCAUGGGAGGGGGGUUGCCUGAAUCAGGAAGUACAAGUCAGCUGGAGGAAAAAGUAGCUUCAAACGACAGGAUCUGGAGCCUUCUUUCCUGAUAGUUGGACAUCCCUCCUCUGAUUGGCUAACUGUACCAUUAUUUCUGUCUGCUCUGCAACAUUGAUGUUUUAUCUCCACAAAUAACACAAGCCAGGAGGAGUUCUGCUGUGUGGUGGAGUUGCUAAUGCUAAUGGUUAGCUUCUGCUAGCUCAGACGUUCUCUGCUGUUUCCUGGACGCUAAACCAACAACCGCCUUCCUCGUCAUGAGUCAAGAUGGGCGAGUCCAUGAAUGUUAGUGACAGUGUGACGUAGAUCUGUCAGGAUUUUCUAAUCCUAGAGUUUCACCGUCUGUUUUAUAUCAGAAGCUAAUGCAGGAGAUAGGUGUAGGAGACUAUUUUCAUGUUCAGACUGCUUGAAAAACUCAAGAGUGACCCGUUGUAUUUAAGAAUUAUUAAAAACAAUAUUUAUGACAUUUUCUCAAGAGGACAGAGUUAGUUUUGAAUUGGAAAUGUGGAAAUCCCAAAGAAAUCUAAAUGGAGAGCACAACAGUCCUCACAAGUGUCUCAAAGUCGCAUGAACAACUUUUUCAUUUGGUUUAGUGAGUCUGAUAGUGUAAAAAAACUGAAAUUUGGCAACUUCUGGAAAUUAUUUUGUGAUCAAUUGGAGACAAAAACUCCAGAAAAUCUGUUCUGUCUUUUUUUACAGACAUGACAAAAUUCAAAUUGAGGCCCUCUGUGACUACAGUCACAGCCCUUUGUUCAACUGACAUGCAUGUUGGCCUAAAUUUGGCCUCCAGAGCUGAACUUAAACAUUUUAAGACAGAUUUAAAAAUCUCCAGUCUAGACAGGCGAAAAAAGGUUGAGCAAUGAGCCAUCUCACAGAUGUUGGCUACAGCUGUGUAUCACUGUGUUUGCAAUCCCUGCUUCUCUCUCAUGAACCAGAAGUCCUCAUUCCUUGUUGUUGUCAGGCCCAACAUGACAGAAUAUAUAAAACCAAGCUGGUUUAUGUUGAAAAGAAGAGGAUGUGCAAUUAGAGCUGAAACAACUAAUCGAUUUAAUCGAUUAUAAUCGAUUAUUAAAAUAGUUAACAACUUUUUUAGUCAUCGAUUAGUUGUUUAAUAAUCAUAUUUUACCGCAUAAAGUCUAUUUUUUACCACAAUCUGACAUCGGUUACAAUCUGUUAAAUUUGCCGCCAGUGUGUGGCAGUAAUGAGCCACUGAUCUACCAGUGGGGCCGUAGAAGAAGAAAUGAGCCAAUAAGUGCCCUCGGUUUUCAUGACGUAUCACGUUACUGACGCUCAUCUUGCUGUGAGAGAUGGCGGAUCAACAACAAAUACGGAAGAAAAAUAGAAGCGACAAAACAAGAGAAACCCCGGACAAAAACCUCACGAGUAUGGGAGCACUUCACUAGAUGCCUUGAAAAGACCGGUGACCUACAAAAUAUGCAAAAACCAUCUAGCAUGGCACGGAAGCACGACAUCCCUAAGUGAACAUUUGAGACGAAAACGUGGGGGCUGAUGCAGCAGAAGAAUGUCCGAAAAAAACAAGCAGCGAUGGACAACUACAUGGGGAACAAGACACUCACCCCCAGCAAUGCAUACCACUUACAAACUCUAUUCCAGAUUCUACAUCAUUUUUUAUGGAAUUUACCUCUUAUAUUUUGAUGCCAAAAAAUUAUUCUGGACUGAUAUUUUGCACUGUUUAGCUCAUUUUACACUGCUGACUGUGGUCAUGUGCAAUAAAAUAGAUUGCAGUCAACUGCACAA